AAUGUUGACAACUUAGACUUCAUCUUUAUUAUUUUGGAAAUAAAAAUGUAAAUUAUGUUCCAAGAAUACUUGAAUUAUGAUUCACAUUUUUCAAAAUUAGUCAUUUUCAUUUAUUGCUACAAUUAGUUGCAUAAAACUCAAAAAAUACAAACUAUUUGCUUAAAAGUAGCUAUAAACGACUUAUUAUUGGGCUGCAUAACACUUAAUUAAUCACUUUUUUAGCUUAUUUUUACCUUUUGGAACUAGAUUUUGAUAUAUUUUAUAGCCAAAUGUCAAAAAUAACUUGAUCAUUUUACUACUUUCUAGUAAUUUUCCUCUUAAGAUUACUGCUUUUUUCCUAUUUUUAGGCUACCUCAAAAGAAAAAAACCCAAAAAGAGGAAUCUGGAGUUUUCCAUCAGACCAACAAAAGACUCCAGUAAACUGAACUUUAUCCUCCUCUUCUUCUUGCGCUCUGCGGAGUUUCGGCUUCGCGGGGCUGGAGCGGAGUCCCCGUCAUGUCCUGCAGAGGAGAGAGACGGAGUCAGAGCGCUGACAGGGAGGAGACGCGCGAGCGGGUCAGGCAAACCAACUGCUUCAGUCCACAGAAAAUAAACAAAAACAGAAAAAUGAAGAUCGAA